ensembl:lncRNA
CACAGGGAGAACCUGAUGAGGGUCCUCACACUCAAAUGUCAGCAGACAGAGUGAGAAUGCCGAGGUGAAGGAGAGGGAGCUGUCCCU